AAGACCUUACUUCAUAGGAUCAUUUCUAUAGUAAGCUCUUCCCGAGAACUUCACACUAUGUGAAUCAACUCGUAACCACGACGAUGAAACGUGGCGCGGCGCCCUGAGCGUGAGGCUGGCGAUGGUAGAUCUACCAUCAGCCCUCGAUGAUCGUUCGCUCCCUUUACGGGGAGAGUGGGGCGUUGUCGCUGUCUGAGUGGU
rnacentral:snoRNA from 1 species